rnacentral:lncRNA from 1 species
CUUGAAAGUAUCGAAACAAAACUGCAACAGGAAAUAUUCCACUGGCAAUGCCUGGAGGAUGAACAUAAUCACCUGCAGCCGAAAGCAGCAGAUACAACAGCAGCCCAGGAGAAAUGUGAAAUGCUAGAGGGUGGAAUAAAGAAGCUUGAAGAGACACUACUCAGGAUUAAAACACAUAUGGACAAGAAUAUGGUAGAGCAUAGUGAGAUAGAAAAGCAUAAGAGAACCAUUGAAGAGCAACAUAGAAGUCAAGCAAUGGAAGAAAUUAACAAAUUGAACCAAUUUUUACAGGAAGAAGCUGCCUCUGACCAAAAGAAAGAGCAGAGAAAACAGGAUUAUAUCAUGUCGAUGGAGCACAGAAUUAAGGCUAUGGAAGCUGAGAUGGUGGAAAUAAAAUCUCGUACAAUUUCUAUGAAAACAGAACUGAGAUUACAUAAAAAAAGCUAUAGAGCUGAAUUGAAAACUGAAGAAUCUUUGGAAUACGAACUUGAAAAGCUUACAGCUGAAAAUUCAGAAUUAAAGGCUGCAAUAAAGGUCCAAGCAAAGGAGGAUGGACAGCUUCCAAGAACCCCAUCUGAAAAGGUUAAAGAAGAAAUAAAGAAUCAGAUUAAAUUGAACCAGUCACUGAUACAGGAUUUGGAUGAAAUAAAAGAGAGAAAUAGUGAAUUAGAAAAAGAAAUAACCAGGUUUAAGAAUCUGUGCUCAAUGGCGAAGGACUCAGACUCACAUAAAAGUAGAGAGUUUACACAGAAUGCUUCAAGUACAACUCACCGCGAAAACGAUGUGGUACUUAACCUAAGAAAGACGCUUGAAAGUAUCGAAACAAAACUGCAACAGGAAAUAUUCCACUGGCAAUGCCUGGAGGAUGAACAUAAUCACCUGCAGCCGAAAGCAGCAGAUACAACAGCAGCCCAGGAGAAAUGUGAAAUGCUAGAGGGUGGAAUAAAGAAGCUUGAAGAGACACUACUCAGGAUUAAAACACAUAUGGACAAGAAUAUGGUAGAGCA